UGACUGGGAACAUCUAGGCCUCAACAU
rnacentral:piRNA from 1 species